AUCGCUUCUUGGCCUUUUGGCUAAGAUCAAGUGUAGGAAGAGCUUCACAAGUGUAAAGGAGUAGGUAUUUAAGUUAAAUUUCUUCACUUAUUCAGGUAAUUAAUAAUAUGAUUUCUAAUCUCAGGAAAUUUAUACUAGUUUUGCUCAUGGUUAACAAUGA
rnacentral:snRNA from 1 species